CCUACGGGAGGCAGCAGUGAGGAAUAUUGGUCAAUGGGCGCGAGCCUGAACCCGCCAAGUAGCGUGAAGGAUGACUGCCCUACGGGUUGUAAACUUCUUUUAUAAAGGAAUAAAGUGAGGCACGUGUGCCUUUUUGUAUGUACUUUAUGAAUAAGGAUCGGCUACCUCCGUGCCAGCAGCCGCGGUAAUACGGAGGAUCCGAGAGUUAUCCGGAUUUAUUGGGUUUAAAGGGAGCGUAGAUGGGUUGUUAAGUCAGUUGUGAAAGUUUGCGGCUCAACCGUAAAAUUGCAAUUGAUACUGGCAGGCUUGAGUACAGUUGAGGUAGACGGAAUUCGUGGUGUAGCGGUGAAAUGCUUAGAUAUCACGAAGAACUCCGAUGGCGAAGGCAGCUUACUAAACUGCCACUGACAUUGAUGCUCGAAAGUGUGGGUAUCAAACAGGAGUAGAUACCCGUGUAGUC
rnacentral:rRNA from 1 species